rnacentral:rRNA from 1 species
GAUGAACGCUGGCGGCGUGCUUAACACAUGCAAGUCGAACGGUGAAGCAGGAGCUUGCUCUUGUGGAUCAGUGGCGAACGGGUGAGUAACACGUGAGCAACCUGCCCCUGACUCUGGGAUAAGCGCUGGAAACGGCGUCUAAUACUGGAUAUGUGAUGUGACCGCAUGGUCUGCAUCUGGAAAGAAUUUCGGUUGGGGAUGGGCUCGCGGCCUAUCAGCUUGUUGGUGAGGUAAUGGCUCACCAAGGCGUCGACGGGCAGCCGGCCUGAGAGGGUGACCGGCCACACUGGGACUGGGACACGGCCCAGACUCCUACGGGAGGCAGCAGUGGGGAAUAUUGCACAAUGGGCGGAAGCCUGGUGCAGCAACGCCGCGUGAGGGAUGACGGCCUUCGGGUUGUAAACCUCUUUUAGCAGGGAAGAAGCGAAAGUGACGGUACCUGCAGAAAAAGCACCGGCUAACUACGUGCCAGCCGCCGCCGUAA